ensembl:lncRNA
AAUAACCCAUUAUAUCUAUCAUAAAAGAUCCCAUAAAUCUCUUCAAAGUGCAGUUUCCAUAUCACUAAGUUCGUCUGAACGUAUUUAACAACACCACAGCAAGCUUCUAGUCUUGCCAGUCCAAAAUGUACUCCUGCAGGUAGCCCUCCCACUGAAACAGAAAUGACCCAGAUACCAACCAGCCCAUCGAAGAAGAAGUGUUUAUUUUUCAGCAUGCGUUUUGCACCCCAUGCUGAUCAGAUCCAGGCUUUUGCACUGAAACUUUGUCUCGACCAGACAAAGGAAAAUUUAGAAAAGCUGAAUGUUUGCAUUCAGGAUGUGUAUCCCCUUUGUUGCUGGUGUUACCUAAGCCACAAAUAAGUGUCCUUUGACACCAACGGUAGGGUGCCACAAGUGUUCAUAUCUGUAAAUAAUACUCAGAAUUUUGCUUUGCUUGAUUCUGGCUUCAUCGCACAAGAAAUCUUCGUUCUAGAGGCUUAGAAAAGAAACCUUCAUUUUUCUUUUUAACCAGAAAUAAUACUAUUGAUAUUCUGUAGGAUUGAACAAGGAUUAACUUUUGACAUUUUUAAAGGGGUCUUUUGAAGACUGCAGGGAUGCUACCUUCAAGAAGUAAUAAUCAGUUUGGGCUCAGUGCAAAGACCCACCCAAACUAGAGCAUUGUGAAAUGCUAGGGAGCUGAACUUGAAUGAAAUGCCAAAUUAUUUGCUGCUGCAAGUAAAGCCCAUUGAGGCCAAUGGAGCUGUUCUCAGUUUAGCCCAGUAAACAAUUUGGACCCUUGUCGUUAAAAGCUAGUUGAAAAGUACAGGAUCUGCAUGAUCUCAGGGAUGGAGGUGUCUGUCCACAGCACCUACAAGGAAACCAGUGAGGUGAGGGAAUGGGAAGAGACAGGUCAGUGAAAGCCUGGGAAAGAAGGCCUUCACACAAGAGGAAGAUAAUCAUCUUUAUCAUCCCAGCCUUGACUGAGCAGCCUUCUGUGUCAGCUCACUCUUUGUGGGCUUGAUAUCAUAAGCAGCAUCCCGAACUCACAAAUGACUGACACUACAGCAGGACCACAUGGUUCAACCCUGGCAGCACUCAGUCCAGGGACUGGUUGUUGCCAGGAGGACACUACUGGCUCAUGGGCCAUCAGUUAUGUUUGACUGUGACAACCUCCAGUCUUACUGGAAAUCUGCAGUUAAGGCCAUUUUAGGAUGCAACAGUUCUGCUCUAAACACCAUAUUUCAUUUAGAACCUCCUCUUCCUUCUGUUUUUCAACACUACUGAGUAUCAUUAGCUACCCUUAGCCUCAUGCAACCACUGGGAUUUGUUUGUAUCAUCAGUUUUGUUGUCUUGUGACAAACAGACGACAUAUCUAUUUUCUCCAAUUCUUUCUGGUUCUCUGGUGGUGGGUGCACAGAAUUGCUCUCACAUUGAAGCAUUCCCCACUGAUGUGUUUGGGGUGGGGGCAGCAUCUCUAUAUUACUUAGAAAUCUGAAGCCAUGAUACUGCACUCAGAAAGGCCAGCCACAGCUGCCAACCAAAUUUGCUUUCCAGUUAGAUUAGCAUUAAAACAAUGCCCCAACUAAUGCAGAAAAAGCCUGCUUUCUAUCAGGCCAGUGAAGCAGUUCUUAAAUGGAGAGAAAACACUGACCGAGGCACUGUUGCACGUGCUGCUCAGUGACAACUCCAUGCCCAGUGUGGCGUGCUGGGCCGUCUGUGCUGCAUGCCGGCUGCUUGGCACCUCAUCAUGCCAGGGAACAGCCCCAGUUCUUCCUUCUUUGAAAGCACAGGGCAACUGUUCAAGCUGUGCUGCUCUGCCAGUCACUGACCCUAUGGCCACCCCGGCCAGCACUCCCCAGGGAAGCCUUGGUGGGCACCCAUAGUUGCUAAAGGACAAGAAAGCCAUGGUGUUCCCCUUAAAAGAAAAAUGUGAUAUUCAACAUCAAAUAAAAACUGGAAAAUGCAAUUUUCCUGUGACUCUCCUGGCACAUGUGUAUCAAGUUGCUUUUGUAGCUGGAAAUUGAAACGACUCAGCUUGAGAAAGAGCAGAAUAUGACAACUUUCUCCAUUGCCUUGCACUUCAGUUAUGUUUCAACCUGAGCAAUGUGGGGAAGCAAUGGGGAAUCCAGCUCAGCUUGUAUAUAACAAAGGGCAGAGCGUCAUGCCUCUGCCUACAGCCCAGCAAAUCCCGCACGUCUUGCACAAUCCCUUCAUUGGGUUACAUUAGGCUGACCCAAGGGGCAUGCAUCAGCAGAUGUUUUCUCCCCAUUUAAGCAACUUUUCCACACCCUGGCAUUUUGGGGUGAUAACAGCAACAUUAGCCAUAUACUAGUGUACUUAGAGUCUUACAUUUUUUGUAACUUUGAUUUAGUCAUUCUUUGUUGAAGUUUAUUGACCUCUCCAAUUGUUUCCGUAAACAAAUUAUUAAAAAAAAAGAAAAAAAAAUCAAUGUCUUUAUAUGCAUGUAGUAGUAUGAAACUGUGAUCAAUGUGUGACAUUCAGAAACUGUACUGUCUUGUAAAAUAUGUCCAAAUGUCUAAGGAUUUUAAAGCAAUGGUCCCUUACUACAGACUACAGAAAUAAAUAAAAAGGUAUGGAU